rnacentral:rRNA from 1 species
AGUGAACGCUGGCGGUAGGCCUAACACAUGCAAGUCGAACGGCAGCACAGUAAGAGCUUGCUCUUACGGGUGGCGAGUGGCGGACGGGUGAGGAAUACAUCGGAAUCUACUUUUUCGUGGGGGAUAACGUAGGGAGACUUACGCUAAUACCGCAUACGACCUACGGGUGAAAGCAGGGGAUCUUCGGACCUUGCGCGAUUGAAUGAGCCGAUGUCGGAUUAGCUAGUUGGCGGGGUAAAGGCCCACCAAGGCGACGAUCCGUAGCUGGUCUGAGAGGAUGAUCAGCGACACGGGAACUGAGACACGGUCCAGACUCCUACGGGAGGCAGCAGUGGGGAAUAUUGGACAAUGGGCGCAAGCCUGAUCCAGCCAUACCGCGUGGGCGAAGAAGGCCUUCGGGUUGUAAAGCCCUUUUGUUGGGAAAGAAAAGCAGCAGGUUAAUACCCCGCUGUUCUGACGGUACCCAAAGAAUAAGCACCGGCUAACUUCGUG